GUUGUUCACUGUGAGUCUGAAGUCAGUGACCGUGAAUUGAAAGGCCCAAGGCCCACCGCCCAAGCAGCAACCAGCGUCCAGCAAGCGACUAAGCGAGCCAGCGAGGCGUAGGGCAAGCCGCCAACCCCAGCCGGUAAGGCAACAUGCGUCUGAGCGAGACAGCGAGACAGCGUAAAGGGGCGGCCGGCGGCGGGGUCCUGUAGCACGCUACAGUGAUGUGAGGCGCCGCCACCAAGCCGGGUGAGGCACCACCGCUUAGAUCCAGCAGAGCUCCAGGCGCCGCCAACCCCUGCCUCCAGCUCUAGGCGUCAUCGAGGCGUCGACCGCUGCCUCCAGCUGGCUCGCAGGCCACACUGCGCCGACUUGGCGACUCGGAUCCAGUCGUCGACGCCCCCUGCCACGCUGCGCCGCCGCCCUCUGCCUGGGCACUCGUGACCUGCGUCCAAGAAUGCAGCAGCCCCACCCCGGCGUAUCAGGUCCCAACAGCGGGCACUCCUCUGCGACCACCAUCGUCGGCUCAUCAUCAGCAGCAAGAGGCACCUCACGCCCGAACCCUCGAUCCGUGGCCCCGUCGUGCAGCCCCUCGCCCUCUUCUAUGCGCCAUGGAUGUCGAUGAUAUUUGUGACAUUGACAACAAUGUGUCCCAUGAAGAUGAAAUACAUGGUACCGGGGAGGAUGCUAAUGGUAACAACAGUGAACACAUGGUGGAGGAGGACCAUGUUCCUGCACCUAUUGGUAGUGAGGUGAAUGUCCUCUGCCAACAAGUUAUUCGUGGAAAAACAAGUCCAUAGAUGGAGACCAUCGUGUAGUGAAGCGACAACUAACAACCAAGUCAACCAAUACCCCAACAAGCAAGUUUAUGGCACCUUCAUUUAAAGCAGCAAGGUCAAACGACAACAUGGAUUUAGUGCCACAAUUGCCAUGCUAGAGUACUAUAUUGUAUGAUGUAAACUUAUUGAUAUAUUGUUAUGUUAGAGUACUAUGUUGUAUGAUAUAUACUUAUUGUUAUAUUGUCAUGUUGGACCAACUGAAUUAUAGCGAAAGUAUGCAUUAUCCGAUAAGUACAUGUUAUCCGCAAUGUAUCCGGCUACACAAUAUUUGUAUCCGUCCCUUAUUCGCCCGAAUAAAUAUCCAGUCCCUAUA